rnacentral:rRNA from 1 species
UUAAAUUGAAGAGUUUGAUCAUGGCUCAGAUUGAACGCUGGCGGCAGGCCUAACACAUGCAAGUCGAACGGUAACAGGAAGAAGCUUGCUUCUUUGCUGACGAGUGGCGGACGGGUGAGUAAUGUCGUGGGAAACUGCCU